rnacentral:rRNA from 1 species
GACGAACGCUGGCGGCGUGCUUAACACAUGCAAGUCGAACGGAAAGGCCCUGCUUUUGUGGGGUGCUCGAGUGGCGAACGGGUGAGUAACGCGUAGGUAACCUGCCUGGUAGCGGGGGAUAACUAUUGGAAACGAUAGCUAAUACCGCAUAAGAGUAGAUGUUGCAUGACAUUUGCUUAAAAGGUGCAAUUGCAUCACUACCAGAUGGACCUGCGUUGUAUUAGCUAGUUGGUGGGGUAACGGCUCACCAAGGCGACGAUACAUAGCCGACCUGAGAGGGUGAUCGGCCACACUGGGACUGAGACACGGCCCAGACUCCUACGGGAGGCAGCAGUAGGGAAUCUUCGGCAAUGGACGGAAGUCUGACCGAGCAACGCCGCGUGAGUGAAGAAGGUUUUCGGAUCGUAAAGCUCUGUUGUAAGAGAAGAACGAGUGUGAGAGUGGAAAGUUCACACUGCGACGGUAUCUUACCAGAAAGGGACGGCUAACUACGUG